rnacentral:rRNA from 1 species
UACGAAGGGGGCUAGCGUUGCUCGGAAUCACUGGGCGUAAAGAGCGCGCAGGCGGUCGUCAAGUCGAGUGUGAAAGCCCCCGGCUCAACUGGGGAGGGUCACUCGAUACUGAUCGACUCGAAGGCAGGAGAGGGUAGUGGAAUUCCCGGUGUAGUGGUGAAAUGCGUAGAUAUCUGGAGGAACACCGGUGGCGAAGGCGGCGGUUCUGGACUGCAACUGACACUGAGGAACGAAAGCCAGGGGAGCAAACGGGAUUAGAA